GCACGUAGUUAGCCGGCGCUUCUUCUGCCUUGUACCGUCACUUUCGCUUCUUCCCUACUGAAAGAGGUUUACAACCCGAAGGCCGUCAUCCCUCACGCGGCGUCGCUGCAUCAGGCUUUCGCCCAUUGUGCAAUAUUCCCCA
rnacentral:rRNA from 1 species